UACAGGGACUGACUAAUCAAAAUCUCACCACUUGACAUGUGAUUCUGUGUUUUCAAUGUUUAUGAGAAACUGAAAGAGAAAAUAACAGUCUGUUCUUCAGCAUGUUUUGUUUACUCUCAAGUCAUUUUGUGCCUCUUGCCAUUUUACUGCACUGAAUGGGGAAACAGCCUUGAUCCUCAAAACACACCUGGAUGUUUACAUCAAGUAACAAAGAUUUGGAUUCUCUAACAGGGCAUGCAUUUCCAGAAGACGAGGGUGGCGAUCUGCUCAAGUCGAGCUUCAGUUUUCCAGGGACGCCAGAGGAGGAGAUAGGUACAGAUGUCAUCUCUCAGAUAACUUGCUCUGCUUGUGCACCCCGAGGCUGGGUGCAGCCGUGG
rnacentral:lncRNA from 1 species